rnacentral:rRNA from 1 species
UACGGAGGGUGCAAGCGUUGUUCGGAAUUACUGGGCGUAAAGGGCGUGUAGGCGGUUGUGUAAGUCAGACGUGAAAUCCUUUGGCUCAACUGAAGAACUGCGUCUGAAACUGCAUGACUAGAGUGCAGAAGAGGGAAACGGAAUUCCAGGUGUAGAGGUGAAAUUCGUAGAUAUCUGGAGGAACACCGGUGGCGAAGGCGGUUUCCUGGUCUGACACUGACGCUGAGGCGCGAAAGCGUGGGGAG